rfam:Sistotremastrum niveocremeum HHB9708 unplaced genomic scaffold SISNIscaffold_3, whole genome shotgun sequence.
GGUUUCGUAGUGUAGCGGUUAUCACAGUGGAUUCUGAAACAUGCAUUCCACUAACCUGAGUUCGAAUCUCGGCGAGACCU